CCACUACUCAGCUAGUAUAAAAGAGAGGAAAGUAGGUUUUAAAAGAGUAAAAUCUCAUUAGUUUAAGAAUGAGGCAGGGAGAGGCCUUUGGGAGUUUUCAAAGGACCGUUUUGCCCCUCUCCCUUCCGAUGAUUUCUCCGAUCACCAUUAAAACGGUCCUCUGAGAAUGUUGCAGAGCUCAAUUUUCUCUCCUUUUUCUUUUUCUUUUUUUUUCUUCUCAGGAUCUGCAUGCCUAUAUCUGUAUAAUUAAGGGUGCAUUCUCUGCGCUACCACACUCUAAACCCUAAAACAAAUAACAAAAUUGAGGCAGUGAUGAGAUGAAUUCUUCAAAAUUUAUCAAAUUAAUUUGGUUUUUGGCGCAUUUUUCGAGGUGGGUGUUAUACCAUUUGGCUUGGCAGCAAUUUAUUUGGAUGACUGGUUGGUUAGAGCUUUGUUUGGUUCACCUGAAAUUUUUUUUUGGUGAUGGAUUGAUGGACCCUUUUUUUUAGUUAUUGCUUUGCCGCCAUGGUUAGACUCUUCCCACCUUGAAAAUGUUCCACCAAAUUGAUUGAUGGAUUACAGAUCUGAGCCUCAAAAAAGAAAAAAAAAUUCCCAGUUUCAGGGAUUGAAAUGGAUGCUGAAGAUGUUUAGAGGGAUCAUUGUUGAGCUAUGUUCAUGAAGGUAUUUUUUUCAAGCUCAAUGCAGUAUUGGACUAUUGGUAACUUGCAUGUUGUUGUUUCACACUUUCAUAGUGUAAAGGUUUGCAAGGUUUAAUUUUAUCAUUUUCUUAAGUAUGACUUUUGCUUGGACAAGAAUUUUUUAAUUUGUUGAUACCUUAUUUGUACCCUUGUGCGUUGUGAAUUGUGAUGGAGUUAACUUGUUGGAUAUUAUGCAUGUUACAACUGAGUUUACCGGAUUAUGAUCUUUCUGUUUAAGUGUAGGAUAAUGAGAAAAAAGAAUCCAGUGUCAUAGGCUACUUAUAUUUCUGCCUUCUUUAUUUUCACUUUGAGGCAUUUUUGACUCUUUUUUUGCCUGUUCUUGGUUGCUCAUUCCUUGAUUUUGUUCAGGCAUGUUACCUACAUGAUUAUACAAUAUAUUAUGCAUGUCUUUGAAAUGCUUAACGAGGACUUCGUUUAGUUUUUAAGAUUGAGGCUUGGAGAUGUUGUUGGUGCUAUGUAGGGAGAGUAUCUGCUCGGUCCUAGAAUCCGUGUUUUCAGUCACAAGGAUAUAAUCUAGAAUUCUGAAGGGAUUAUUUGAGUUUGUUGUGUUUAAUGUGAUAUUCUCAUGAUGACUCAAGAUUUUAUAUUCAUGAUGUUCAUGGUAUGAUGUAGAUGGUUUUAAGGGCAUUUUUACUAUCACAGCUAGUUUGCUGUUUUGGAUUUGAGAUUUUAAAAGUUAUUGAUAUUUGUUCUAUUGUGAAAUUAAAACUACUCGUAUUUAUGCCAGUAGUGCUAAGUUGAAAUCUGUAAAUUCACUUUUUUCUGGUUUCUAGAAUUUGUUUUAAGGUUCCCAAAAAAUUUGAAAACUUUAUACUUGCAAUGAUGAUGAAUUAGCCUGAGUUAUUGAAUCGUAUAACUCAUCUCUCUUUAAAUAUUUGCUUAUGUCUGUUUUCUGUGGCUGUAUUGUCAGCACUUAUUCACCCACUCAACGAAAAGAAGACAAAUUAUUAUAUGCCAUGCACCGAAACAUUUGUGAUAAUGGAUAUAUGAGGUUGAUAAUGAUGCAAUUUUGAUAAGAACGAUUAAAGUUUUAACGGGGGCUACUCAGAAGCACAUGGGUCCCUAAUAAUGUAUACUUCGUUUAUUUGUAGUUGCAGGAGUUUGAGUUUUGCACUAGUCGCAUACCCUGCAUUGACUAUUUGUGAUGAUGAUAUAUACUUCGGUAAAAACAUGGUUGUGUGAAUCUUGUUAGAUUUAUCUCAAUAUAUAUUUGCCAAGAUAUGAACACAUUUAAGAUGAAGAUGGGCUGAAAAAGAAUAAUGAGGCUGUGAUGAGCUAUAUUGUUUUAUGUAGUCAGAUUCAUUUUGGUUUUUGGAGCAUCGAGAAUAGGUGGGUGUUGACCAUUUGGCUUGGCAGCAAUUGAUUUAGGCUAUGUUCAUUUCACCUUAUUCCCUAUACUCCAUGUAAAUAAGUUCUGCCCUAAUAAGUUUAGAAAGGUUCAGCUCUGGACGAUACUUUUAUUCUCACAUAUCACUAUUCAUUUCAGUUCAAUUCAGUUCAGUUUGUUUUAUGCUGAAGAGAACAGGCCCUUAGUCUCUUAUGUUCAUCUCAGUUCAGUGUCACGCCCAAUCCAAAAGAACGGAGCCUUAUGUUGAAGAGAAUGCACCCCAUAUGGUUAACUUGAAAUAUGUUGAACUUGUUUGCUUAUUGAUGGGCCCUAUUUAUGUUACAUGGUGUAUGGUAUCUGGGGUGGGAAUUUCUGAAUUAGAUUGCUUUGCCGCCAUGGUAGACUUUUCCCACCUUGAAUGCUCCACCAAAUUGAUUGAUGAAAUGCAGAUCUGAGCCUCUUCUUAACUAUACAUAUAGUACUUGGCUUUUUUUAAAAGAUGUUUUCCAAUAACCUUUAAUUUCAACAUUAGCAUAUUUUGUUCUUCUGGGUGUAUAACUUUAAUGGUGAAGGUUGUUGGUUAUUGUCAGUUUUUGAAAUUGUAAUCAAAACGGUGAAAGUUUUUUCUUUUCUGCUUGCAUUAGGCAUAUCAGCUGCAUCACUUCGGGUGUAAGCUAACAACUAACAAGUGAGGUGUGGUAAAAAAAAUGGAUCACAUAAUUGCACCGGCAGAAGGAGAAGUGAUCUAUUACUCUACUUUUGGAUUUUUUUUUUGUUACUUUUUUUAUUGCAAAUCAGGGUCCUUUUCAGCAAUUUCUCCAUUAAAUAUUGUUAACUUGCAUAUAUUUGUUUCAUAAGAAGUAUCUAAAGCCUUGCAAGGUAUAAAUUUCUCAUUGUUUAGAUACCCUUUUGCUUCAAAAAUAAUUAUUGCUUAUAUGCUGCCUCCUAAAUUCACACUGAGGUAUCCGUCCGAUUUGUGAUUCUGCAGUUAUAUGAUUUGGUCUGAAUAUGUGAUAGAUGUAUGUCGUGUAGAGGAUAAAACCCGAAAAUCUGUUCAGUCACAAGCCUCGUCUUGAAUUGAAGCCCUUGGUAGUUAAUAGUUAAAAGAGUUAUAUCCUUUUGCUGUAUGUAAUGUGAGUAUAAUAGCUCCAUUAUUUAUUUUGCAUAUCAUGAAAUGUCUAUGGAUCUAUUGCACUCUUUGUAGAAUUGUAGUACCUUUUUUUCGGGUUAGAAGUUGUCUCAUGACAUAUGCAUUAUUAGAUUGAGAUGAAUCUUAUGAAUUAGAAAGAUCUGCCUGUGUAAGAUACAGGGAGUUGAGGAUUGGUUUUUUUCGGGUAGCUUUCUACAAGAGGCCAAAAGCUGCUGCUGUAAAAGCUCAAAGAUCAUCUGAGAUGCAAGUUUGAUAUCUGAAAGCUCUAGAACAUUACAAAGAAAAUUGGGGCUAGGUUGCACAGAGGCGGAUAUGGGUAUGGGUUCAGAUUCGGGUACAGGGACGAAAAACGGCGAGAUCUUGAAAUUUAAGGAAUGGGUACUCGUACCCAUACAAGAUAUGAUACAUAUCGGGAACGGGUACGAGUACGUGACCUAGAAGAAGUACCGUAUUACAUAGGUUUCUAGAGAGGCUGUGAUUGUUGAAAGAGUUGUUGCUGCAUCGUUCUGAGUUACCCUUGGCAUAUCCACCAUCUUUCUCACUGCCUCAAAUGGAUGCUUACUCUUCAUAGGUAUCCGUAUCGGGUUUAUAAUUAUGGCUUGGCAGCUUGAGGUCGUUUGCUCGUUGUAUACUUGUAUUUCUGUUAAGAUUUGCUGCUUACUUGUUUUAGCUAACAAAGUAAUGAAUAUUGCAUCUCUGAUGCCCUUUUGUUUAAGGGUAUCAUAUGUAUAAUAUAUUCAUAUUUAGUAAGAAUGAUGUCUAUGUUUGGUGAUUACUACUCUUAGUUGUGUAACUCUUACAUAGUAUACUGUAUAGAACUCCAACUUGAUCACAAAAUGUAUAUUUUUCUUUA